GAGGAAAUAGCAUAAGUAGUGUUUCUUGCUUACAUCAAGAAGGUGGCGGGUAGUGGUAGCCUUUUCUUU
rnacentral:tRNA from 1 species